GAAUCAGCUUGUGUGUUAGUGGAACGGUCUGGAAAGUCCGACGGUACAGGGUGAUAGUCCCGUACACGAAAGCACACUUGCUGUGAACUCGAAGAGUAGGGCGGGACACGUGGUAUCCUGUCUGAAUAUGGGGGGACCAUCCUCCAAGGCUAAAUAGCAUCUAAGCACGAAACUUGCCCCGAGAUGAGUUCUCCCUGAGACUUUAAGUCUCCUGAAGGAACGUUAAAGACGAUGACGUUGAUAGGUCGGGUGUGUAAGCGCAGCGAUGCGUUGAGCUAACCGAUACUAAUGAACCGUGAGGCUUAACCUU
rnacentral:rRNA from 1 species